GCCGGGCGUAGUGACGUGCGCCUGUAGUCCCAGAUACUUGGGAGGCUGAGGCAGGAGAAUGGCAUGAACCUGGGAGGCGGAGCUUGCAGUGAGCCGAGAUUGCGCCACUGCACUCCAGCCCGGGUGACAGAGCCAGAUCCCGUCUCAA
rnacentral:SRP_RNA from 1 species